GGGGAUGACUUGGUUUCGACAGGGAGGCUGGAUUUUCCGGCUGCAUGCCGAGGCGCCGCUGGCCUCGUAAAAAGCGGCAAAACAAGAAACGCAAAUAAUAAUUUUGCAUUGGCAGCUUAAGCCUGCCC
rnacentral:tmRNA from 1 species